AGACAGAGGUGGCGAGCGUUGUUCGGAAUUACUGGGCUUAAAGGGCGCGUAGGCGGUGGUGUAAGUCUGGGGUGGAGUGCUACAGCUCAACUGUAGAGCUGCCUUGGAAACUGCAUUACUUGAGUCGGUGAGGGGAAGGCGGAAUUCCUGGUGUAGCGGUGAAAUGCGUAGAUAUCAGGAGGAGGGUCUGUGGCGAAGGCGGCCUUCUGGCACUUGACUGACGCUGAGGCGCGAAAGCGUGGGGAGCAAACAGGAUUAGAUACCCCGGUAGUCCUGGCAGUAAACGAUGUAUGCUGGGUGUGAGACUAGCGAUAGUUUCGUGCCGAAGUUAACGCGAUAAGCAUACCGCCUGGGGAGUACGGUCGCAAGAUUGAAACUCAAAGGAAUUGACGGGG
rnacentral:rRNA from 1 species